rnacentral:rRNA from 1 species
GACGAACGCUGGCGGCGUGCUUAACACAUGCAAGUCGAACGAUGAAGCCGGAGCUUGCUCUGGUGAAUUAGUGGCGAACGGGUGAGUAACACGUGAGUAACCUGCCCUUGACUCUGGGAUAACUGCUAGAAAUGGUAGCUAAUACCGGAUACGACCCUCGGCGGCAUCGCCAGGGGGUGGAAAGAAUUUCGGUCAAGGAUGGACUCGCGGCCUAUCAGCUAGUUGGUGAGGUAACGGCUCACCAAGGCGACGACGGGUAGCCGGCCUGAGAGGGUGACCGGCCACACUGGGACUGAGACACGGCCCAGACUCCUACGGGAGGCAGCAGUGGGGAAUAUUGCACAAUGGGCGCAAGCCUGAUGCAGCAACGCCGCGUGAGGGAUGACGGCCUUCGGGUUGUAAACCUCUUUUAGUAGGGAAGAAGCGAAAGUGACGGUACCUGCAGAAAAAGCACCGGCUAACUACGUGCCAGCCGCCGCCGUAA